GGGCGCAUAGCUCAAUGGUAGAGCAGCGGCCUUUUAAGCCGUUGGUUGCAGGUUCGAGUCCUGCUGCGCCCA
rnacentral:tRNA from 1 species